UGUAGGGGAGUGUGGUGGCGACGGCGGCGAGGGGCGGUCGGUGCGCGCUCCUGAGGAGGUCUUGGAGGCUGGAGGAAGUCGGGUCGCGCUGCGGUGUCGGGAGAGCACUGGGGGAGCGGCACUUCGCUCUCAGAGGAAGGUACCAGGGGGAUGGCGUGGGGAAGCGGUGGUGCUUGGCCCGCGGGAGAGGCGGGUAGGGCAGAGCUCCCUCGCUAUGCGCAGGCGGCCGCAAGCCGUCCCCGAACCCCCCGUGCCUCUCGGAGCCCCCCUGCGCCUGCCCCCGCUCCACGCUCUCCCCACGCCUCCCUCAGCCCCGCCCCGGGCCCGCGGCUGUCGAGGAACGGGCCCGCCCCCCGGCUUUUCCCGCGCUCUCAUUGGCGGCGGCGGGGAGGGCGGGGCCGCGGCCGCGGUCACGUGUUGGCGGGGGGCAGCUGGAACCGGUUGGGGCCGUGCCGCCCCCUCCCCACCCCCGGCAGGCGGCCCCGGCAGGAGGGGCGGGGAGCCCGGGCUUUGCUGUCCGCAGCCCCGCACAAAGCGAGCGGGGACCCUGAGCGCCGCUCCGCUGCGCCAGGAGAUUUCAACAAUCCCAAGACAAAACUUCUGCAGAAAUGACCUCUUGUCAAGUCACUUUUGAAGUAAGGGGGCCAUCAGGACCAGGAGAGGUUUUUGCAAUAUGUGGGAGCUGCAGUGCUUUGGGAAAUUGGAAUCCCCAGCUUGCAGUGGUCCUCCAGACUGUGGAUGAUAUAUUUGAGAAAAGAUGGAAAACUACUGUAGAGCUUCCUAGAGGAAUUCCUGUUCAGUAUCGGUAUUUUAAAGGAUACUUUCUAGAACCUAAGGUAUUUGCACGACUUGGAGGGGAAAAAAAGAGCCAAGAGACAGAGACAGAUGUGUUUUUACAGACUAUCGAUGGUCCCUGCGAAGUCAUAGUUCACACGUGGGAGACUCAUCUACAACCACGAUCAAUUACCCCUUUAGAAAAUAAAAUUACUGUCGAUGAUGGAGACUUUGGAAUCUGUAAUGGUAUUAAAACUGUGGAUGCUGGGUGGCUGACAUGUCAGACAGAAAUCAGGCUACGUCUGCAUUAUUCUGAGAAACCCCCUGUACUGAUUUCUAAGAAGAAAUUUAAAACAUCAAGGUUUAGAGUAAAAUUGACCCUAGAAGGCCUAGAGAAGGAUGAUGAUGAAGAGGGCCAAGACAAGACAUCCCCUACUGUUCCCCAGAAAAUGGCAAACACGGUGGAGUUCUCCUUGAUCAGUAACGACGACUACAAAUGUCGGCACUCUCAGCCAGACUGUGGCUAUGCCUUGCAGCCAGACCGAUGGAUAGAAUACACAAUACAAACCAUGGAGCCUGAUAACUUGGAGUUGAUAUUUGAUUUUUUUGAGGAAGAUUUAGGUGAGAAGGUAGUACAAGAUGAUGUGCUCCCAGGUCACGUAGGCUCUGCCUGCCUCCUGUCAUCCACAAUUGCAGAACUUGGAAAGAGUGCUGGAGUUCUUACACUUGCCAUUAUGAGCAGAAAUCCAAGGAAGACAAUUGGAAAAGUUAGAGUGGACUACAUAAUUAUCAAACCUAUCCAGGGAUACACUUGUGAUAUGCAGGCUUCAUAUGCAAAGUACUGGAAACCAAGAACAACUCUGGAUGUUGGACACAGGGGAGCAGGGAAUUCAACAACAACCACUAAGCUUGCUAAAGUUCAAGAGAACACCAUUGCAUCCCUCAGGAGUGCUGCUAGUCACGGAGCAGCAUUUGUGGAAUUUGAUGUACAUCUUUCUAAAGAUCAUGUGCCUAUAGUAUACCACGAUCUCACAUGUUGCAUGGCCAUGAAAAAGAAACUGGAUACGGAGCCUUUGGAGCUGUUUGAGAUUGCAGUCAAAGAACUCACAUUUGAUCAGCUGCAGUUGUUAAAGCUGGCUCACGUGACGGCCCUGAAAGUAAAAGAUCACAAUGCAUCUUUUAACGAGGAAGAGAACUCUGCUUUUGAGAUGCAGCCAUUUCCUUCUCUGCAAAGAGUCCUGGAGUCUGUUCCUAAUGAUGUUGGGUUCGACAUAGAAAUAAAAUGGAUCUCCCAACAAAGGGAUGGACAAUGGGAUGGCAACUUGUCAACUUACUUUGAUAUGAACCUUUUUCUAGAUAUUAUUCUGAAAACUGUUUUGAUGAAUGCUGGACGAAGAAGAAUUGUGUUUUCUUCUUUUCAUGCAGAUAUUUGUACAAUGAUCCGACAUAAGCAAAACAAGUAUCCUGUGUUAUUUCUCACCCAAGGGGAAUCUAAACUCUAUCCAGAGCUCAUGGAUCUCAGAUCUCGCACGACUCCAAUUGCCAUUAAUUUUGCACAGUUUGAAAACUUGCUGGGAAUUAGUGUGCAUUCAGAAGACCUGCUGAGGAAUCCAGCAUUUAUUACACUGGCCAUAUCCAAAGGCCUGGUUAUUUUUUCAUGGGGUGAUGAUACAAACGACCCGGAUAACAGGAAGAAGUUGAGAGAAUAUGGUGUUCAUGGGUUAAUAUAUGACAGGUACUUAGUUGUGGCUUUUUAAAAGAAUGAUUAUAAUCACCACCAUCAUGAAGCUUAGAAACUAUUGUAAAUUGGUUCUGAUGAAAUUUCAUUUUGCUUCUUGGUUGACUGGGUGCAGAAAGUACAAGGACCCCAUAAACCCGGAUCAAGAAUAAGUCUAACACCAGUUCCCACUCUUUCAGCUGUAUCUAUGAAGCAAAAUAACUUUUGUUUUUCCUGAGAUCAACAUAAAUGUAAUUAGAUCCUUUAAAGAACAAGUGUAUGGCAUACACGUUUAAGGUGCUACUAAUAUUCAUGAUAGUAAUUUUUAGGUUAUGCAAACGUGUUACAGCGAGGAAAACGUCAUUUAAUUGUUUGACUGGAAGUUUCAGUAUUCUACACUGAGCUGUGGAAAUAGUUAACACAACAUUCUCUUGUGUUUCAAAGCUGUGAAUUCACAUUUUUCCUAUUAAAAUUAGCUUGGAGUGACUCCAGGGCAAACUGCCAAAUUAGUAAUUUCAGAAAGUAGCUGUUACAUCAAAAAAUUCAGGUAGAAACAUCAGAAUACUGUGUUAAAUAUUUUAACAAAAGUAUUGUUGUGUUAUUUGGUUGCUUACAGCAACCCAAAGUUUUAGGUCUUUUGUCUUUGAAGAUGAGAAAUUCAUCAUUAUGAGGUGAAGUUUAAUUUGAAAACUUGUAUUAUAGAAUUUCUAAUAGAAAGUAAUUGGGAAAGAAGGCUUUCAAACCUUCUGCUUUAGCAAGAGUAUUGCUUCGUAUAUUGUUUUACCUACCAAAAAAACCCCAAAAAACCCAAAACAAAACAAAAAACCCCCAAAACAACAACAAAAAAACAAAACAAAACAAAAAAAAAACGCAAAAAAAAACCCCAACCAAAGGAAGAGGAAUCAAUAAUUGUCAAAGGCUCUGUUUUAUAAAGUGAAAACUGAGAGCCAAUUUAAUCAGCUCUAGGGGCAGGAAAUCAAAUAUGUUUCCUCCUAGGGUUCUAGGCUCUCAGUAUAAAAAAAUUAGUUAACUCUUUUCAAUCUGUUGUUGACUGCUGAGAGUCCUUUCAAGGUCCAUUGCUUCUCAGGUUUGCCAGAGGUGCCCCUUCUUGUGCUGUACAGAAUGUCUCCCAUUCACUGGCAGUAAAAAAAGGAAUAACUAGGUUUUUACACUGGGGAUCAGCUUCAGACUGAGGAUAUGGACACAUAAGUCCUCUUUACUGCUACAGCAGUGCUCUGUGUUGCACCUCUGCUGCAGCUCAGGAUUGGGGCCCCUUUAGUCAAUGAAAAAUACCUCUGGACUAGAAUGCAGGUGAAAGAAUCCUCUAACUACUUAGUGUGCAAUCAUAGGGUAAUGAAAUUUUAUUCUGUGGUAUGUGUAAGUUAAAGUGAUAUAUUAUUGCUGGGGUGUUUUAAUCAAACUCCACUGCAUAAAGUGUUUGUGAAAUGUCUCUUCACCUCUACUAAUCCAGUCUUCCAGAGUUGUUAAUUACUCUCUGUGCAGUAGAUAUUCACUACUGUGGUAAAACAGUAAAGCAGGGACCAGCCUAACUUCUGACUUCAUGUUGCUUUUAUUGCUUUAGAUACUCCAUGCUACUUGGAGUUGUGGCAUUUAUGUUGAGGCUGCAAGUCGGCUACUCGUCACCUUAUGUGUCCUGUUGCACUGUUUGGUGUGUUUUAAGUUGUACUAGGACACUAGAACACCUUUUAUCUCACUUUCUGAUAACCAGCCAAUUCGUUGGAAGGCUGAAUUCCCUUGUGGAUUUAACUGAACAAAAAUUUCUUAUACCUUCCUUCACUGUUUAGAUGAUCUGGAUUCUUAAUAGUGUUCAUCUCUCCUCUUGUUGCCUGCCUCCUCUAUCAUUUCCACUUCAACAUCUUGCCAUUUUUUUGGAGAGGAACCCCAAAAUUAGUAUUAACUCCAAAGCUGUUAUUGCAGGCUUGUUAAGUGUAAUUUCUAAAUGUAAUUUCCCUUCUUUUUUCUGUAGGCCAAAACAAACAAUGGUAUGUCCCUUUGCAAUUCUUAAUUACUUUUCAAGUUUUACUAAUUGUGUGAGUAAAAUUAAAUUCACUCUUAAUGCAGGUUAGGGAUAUGACAGUUUCUGAAAGUUGCAUCAGAAGUCUCAAGGUGGACAUUUUGAAAUGCAGGUGGUACCUGCAAGUUCUGAGAAUGUAGGGAUGUAAAACCUGGCAGCAAACAUUCCCACUCACAGCUGGAGCUGCUGGGUAAAGAGCCAGUCUUUCAGAUCACUUGAGACUUGAAGUUGAUAUUUAGAGUUUAAAUAGGUAUGGUGUCAGCAUCCAUAUCCUGUGCUGUUUGGAGUUUAGAAAUAAAUAAAUGUAAAACUACAUUUAAAAAGCAGACCUCGAGAGAGAGAGGUGUACAUGACUGUUCCAAGGUGUAAGUAAUAAGUAGGGACUGCAGUAAUCUGUUUUAGUAUAAAGCCAGCUCAUGCAGCUGUUGUGUCUUCAAAUUCCAGAAUAUUUCCAGGGCUGAAUUAAGAUGGUGCUUCUUCCAUGGUUUCUGUAUUUUUGUCCUCUGGAUUUAUGGCCAAGUCCAGAUAUCUAUCAAAUAUAGUAUUUUGUGUUGCUGUUUCCUAGGCCUUUACUUACACCAUGUUAAGUGCUAAUUAUCUGAAUGAUCUAGGAAGUGAAUAGAGGAAUUGUAGUGAAUUUUAGGCUGCUUGUAUGUGGCCCUGAGUUACUGUGUGCAGUAGUUAUUUCUGAGAUUAUGAACUGUAUGCAUAGAGAUUAUUUCUGUAAGCUAUUUUUUUCCAAACUUUAAUCAUCCAUGUAGAAUUGACCAAAACACUGUAGCCAGUUGUGAAGAUGGCAGAAAAACUGUGUCCUGAAUACCAAAAGUUGAUGAUACCAAGCUCUGGGAAAAAAAAAUGCAGGAUAUAUGACUCAAAUCCUGAACAACCAAAUAUAUUCCAGGUGGAGCAGCUGGAACGUCUCAAGAGAGAGCUGC